GACGAACGCUGGCGGCGUGCUUAACACAUGCAAGUCGAACGAAGUGGCGAACGGGUGAGUAACGCGUAAUCAACCUGCCCUUCAGAGGGGGACAACAGUUGAAAACGAAUGCUAAAACCGCAUACUGAAGGAGGGGCGUGCGUCUUAAUAGCUAGGGGGAGGGGUAACGGCCCGCCAAGGCGAUGAGCAGUAGCCGGGCUUAGAGAAUGAACGGCCACAAUGGGACUGAGUACCGGCCCAGGAUGCCUCGGGAGGCAGCAGGGGGGAAUCUUCCGCAAUGGACGAAAGUCUGACGGAGCAACGCCGCGUGAGUGAUGAGGGCCUUCGGGAUGGAAAGCUAUGUUAAUCGGGACGCGGUACCUGAAUAGAAAGCCACGGCUAACUACGUGCCAGCAGCCGCGGUAAUAC
rnacentral:rRNA from 1 species